UGUCAGCAAUUCAAGACUAUCUUUCCUACCCUCUGCAGUGCCUCUUUCAGCUAUCCAGGUACUGAGUGUUCAUCUGAUUUUUUGUUCUCAUGUAUGUAUAUGUGCUUUUUUGUGUGUAGAUAGUUGUCAAAUUUGGUGUUCCUGUAGGGGGAUGACUAAUGGAAACUUUAUUCAGCCACUGCGCUCUUCUCCUUAUUCUCCUUAUAUUAUUGUCAAGGAACCAGACUAGACUGGGUGGAAUUUCUUCCUGGAUGGAGAAUAAUUUUUACCAAUAUAAUUGUUAAAACAAAGCAAAAAUAUGUAUCACUGUUUCAUGACUUAGUUGCAGGAUUCAUAACCCAAACCAGUAAACUCGUACUCUCCUUUCUUGGACCUCUUCAGUCUGCCCCAAAGACUGGGAAUUUUAUCAAGCAAGAUGUUUUUUCUUAUCCACUUCUGAAUCAUCUUGGAAUGAAAGCAGGGACUUUUGCAAAGGAAAAGGAUCCACAUUGGCAAUUGUCAACACGCCAGAGAAACUGAAGUUUCUUCAGGACAUAACUGAUGCUGAGAAGUAUUUUAUUGGCUUAAUUUACCAUCGU
rnacentral:lncRNA from 10 species